AUCGCUAGUAAUCGCGAAUCAGAAUGUCGCGGUGAAUACGUUCCCGGGUCUUGUACACACCGCCCGUCACACCAUGGGAGUCGGAAAUGCCCGAAGUCAGUGACCCAACCGUAAGGAGGGAGCUGCCGAAGGUGGAGCCGGUAACUGGGGUGAAGUCGUAACAAGGUAAC
rnacentral:rRNA from 1 species